GUUCUGUUUUUAUAUGUUUGAACAUGCAUCACUCUGGGUUUAAAAAAGGUGCCGUUUUCACAGUGUGUGGAUUGCGAGGGCAGCUCUGAGCGAGCGCCGAUUCACUAAUGAUCCUUCCGCAGGUUCACCUACGGAAA
rnacentral:misc_RNA from 1 species